CGAGCGCAACCCNNUCUUUAGUUGCCAGCAGGUUAUGCUGGGNCUCUAGAGAAACUGCCCGUGAUAAGCGGGAGGAAGGUGUGGAUGACGUCAAGUCCUCAUGGCCCUUACGGGUUGGGCUACACACGUGCUACAAUGGCUGACAAAGGGAAUCCC
rnacentral:rRNA from 1 species